CCUUUUGUAUAAUGGGUCAGCGACUUAUAUUCUGUAGCAAGGUUAACCGAAUAGGGGAGCCGGAGGGAAACCGAGUCUUAACCGGGCGUUAAGUUGCAGGGUAUAGACCCGAAACCCGGUGAUCUAGCCAUGGGCAGGUUGAAGGUUGGGUAACACUAACUGGAGGACCGAACCGACUAAUGUUGAAAAAUUAGCGGAUGACCUGUGGCUGGGGGUGAAAGGCCAAUCAAACCGGGAGAUAGCUGGUUCUCCCCGAAAGCUAUUUAGGUAGCGCCUCGUGAAUUCAUCUCCGGGGGUAGAGCACUGUUUCGGCUAGGGGGCCAUCCCGGCUUACCAACCCGAUGCAAACUGCGAAUACCGGAGAAUGUUAUCACGGGAGACACACGGCGGGUGCUAACGUCCGUCGUGAAGAGGGAAACAACCCAGACCGCCAGCUAAGGUCCCAAAGUCAUGGUUAAGUGGGAAACGAUGUGGGAAGGCCCAGACAGCCAGGAUGUUGGCUUAGAAGCAGCCAUCAUUUAAAGAAAGCGUAAUAGCUCACUGGUCGAGUCGGCCUGCGCGGAAGAUGUAACGGGGCUAAACCAUGCACCGAAGCUGCGGCAGCGACACUCAGGUGUCGUUGGGUAGGGGAGCGUUCUGUAAGCCUGCGAAGGUGGCCUGUGAGGGUUGCUGGAGGUAUCAGAAGUGCGAAUGCUGACAUAAGUAACGAUAAAGCGGGUGAAAAGCCCGCUCGCCGGAAGACCAAGGGUUCCUGUCCAACGUUAAUCGGGGCAGGGUGAGUCGACCCCUAAGGCGAGGCCGAAAGGCGUAGUCGAUGGGAAACGGGUUAAUAUUCCCGUACUUGGUGUUACUGCGAAGGGGGGACGGAGAAGGCUAUGUUGGCCGGGCGACGGUUGUCCCGGUUUAAGCGUGUAGGUGUGUGUUCCAGGUAAAUCCGGUUCACUUUAACACUGAGGCGUGACGACGAGGCACUACGGUGCUGAAGCAACAAAUGCCCUGCUUCCAGGAAAAGCCUCUAAGCAUCAGGUAACAUCAAAUCGUACCCCAAACCGACACAGGUGGUCAGGUAGAGAAUACCAAGGCGCUUGAGAGAACUCGGGUGAAGGAACUAGGCAAAAUGGUGCCGUAACU
rnacentral:rRNA from 1 species